rnacentral:tRNA from 1 species
UGCGCCGGUAGCUCAGUCGGCAGAGCACCGGACUUUUAAUCCGGGGGUCGCAGGUUCGACUCCUGCCCGGCGCAU